rnacentral:tRNA from 1 species
GUCCCCGUAGUUUAAUGGAUAAAACGUGAGAUUGCGGAUCUCAAGACUAGAGGUUCGAUUCCUCUCGGGGGCA